rnacentral:rRNA from 1 species
GAUGAACGCUGGCGGCGUGCCUAAUACAUGCAAGUCGAGCGAACGGACGAGAAGCUUGCUUCUCUGAUGUUAGCGGCGGACGGGUGAGUAACACGUGGAUAACCUACCUAUAAGACUGGGAUAACUUCGGGAAACCGGAGCUAAUACCGGAUAAUAUUUUGAACCGCAUGGUUCAAAAGUGAAAGACGGUCUUGCUGUCACUUAUAGAUGGAUCCGCGCUGCAUUAGCUAGUUGGUAGGGUAACGGCUUACCAAGGCAACAUUGCAUAGCCGACUGAGAGGGUGAUCGGCCACACUGGAACUGAGACACGGUCCAGACUCCUACGGGAGGCAGCAGUAGGGAAUCUUCCGCAAUGGGCGAAAGCCUGACGGAGCAACGCCGCGUGAGUGAUGAAGGUCUUCGGAUCGUAAAACUCUGUUAUUAGGGAAGAACAUAUGUGUAAGUAACUGUGCACAUCUUGACGGUACCUAAUCAGAAAGCCACGGCUAACUACGUG